GAAACUAAGGAAAUUAUUGCCUGCCUAUUCAUCUUUUGCAAAGAAUGUCAGGAAGAUUGUAGAUGUCACUGCAAGUCUGAUAAGCAUCUGGGCGGGGUUGGCGCUUGGUUUCACAGUGCCCUGCCUUUAGAGAGCUCAUGAUGAUCCCUAAUAUCUCCCAUGUCCUUCCUGCUCUCCUGAGUGCCAUAGCCCAGAAUCCCUUCUACAAAUCCUGUCACCACCUCAGGCAGGAGACAGGUGCACAGCACUUGCUGUGACAAAGGGAAAGUACCACUUCAAGGUGUCUGGUUCUCCACUGCUGUCUUGGAUGACACUCAUACGACUGGAAUUCCCACAUUUUCUCACAGACCUGCUGGAACCUCAUAAAUUCAGCUCUAAUUCAAGAAAGGAAACAUUUUUCUUUCCUUGAUGGAUGGGAGGAAGGAGAUUGCCAAGGAAAGCCAAAUGUCAGGGGCAGGAAAGGAAGUCUGUAAUUGGAGCUGGAAGCAAGAAGUUCUGCCAAUGGUGAGACAGAAUUGGUCCAACAGUGAAACAUGAAGAACAGAAGGCUUUUACCUGUUGCAAAAGAUAUCUGAGAACCAGAGAUAAAAUAAGGUUGCUCAUCCGAGUGGCUCUCACUUCAAGAGGCCCUACACUGGGAAUGGCAGAUUCUUCCCUGGAACUCUCAACCAUCCCUCGGCAGACCAUGAUUUUGAGUAACCACCAUUUCAGCAUAAAUUAGUCUGUUCACUGUACACAUUGGCAAACAUUCCCAGGAUGUCAGCACUGGAAAUGCUGUCCACUACCACCAUCAGAUCCUGAGAACAGGAAUUCAAGUGCUUACAGGACCCUGGGGCCUUGCUAUACAUUCAGACUGCACAUGCAGUGAAGGAGAAUAUACAGCAAAUGCAAAGUGAGAAGUCCUUCCUGAACGUAUGCUGGACAGGUGUAGCUGUGCUGGAUCAACAGCAGAAGUUGGAACCCCCUGUCAGGUGUGCCACAGAGCUGCUCAUGACAUAGUAAGAGGAAGGAAAGUUUAACUGAGAUUUCAUUUUCCUUCCUGCUAUUAUUUGUUCUCUGUCUUGUUGUAUUGGUGUCAUCACACUGAGUGUGUGCUGUUACGGCAGAUACCAUUUGGGCAGGAAUUCUGAGUUCUAGACCUCUGGAAAUCCCAGCAUGAGCUAAAUGUUUCAGCUUUCAAAACAGUGAAUGAUUGAACCCAUUUGUUCCCAUUUGAGUUCCCAGAAAUAUCUUGAGUGAGCACUGGAACAGAUUCACAGGACAGGCUCAAAUACCACUUUCACAGCCAUUCUGGUUGCUCCUUUGCAAUGUCUCUGAGUAAGUCCCCUGUGAAUUCAUGCUGGUUUUUCUAUGUGAUCAGCACCAAUCCCAUCUCUGGGGAUCUUUAUAUUCACAGCCAGGCCUUUCUUUCUAUUGUUAGUUGGUAAGGCUUCCUUCUCUGAGGCUGUCAUCUGUAUGUGACUGUAAGCCAUCACAAGAUGGCUCUGAGGGAAGAAACAGUAAUGUUUGGACUCGGGGUGAAGACAAUUGUCAAUAAGGAACCUGUUAAUGAUACUCAGCUUGCCUAAUAAAGGUUAUCCCAAGCAAAGGAGGUUUUGGGCUCUUUUAGCUGGGAAUCAUGCUUCUGCAAGACUCUUCCCUCAAGCCCAGAUCUUGGCAGGAAAAUGUGUGCUGUACAUAAGGAUUUUGAGUUGUGCAGGUGUUCCUUGCCCUCUCUGAAAAGCCAGUGGUGGCAGGCCUAAAGCUUGAGCCACAUCAUAAAUUUGGAAAUGUGUCUGUUCUGAAAUAAACCAGCACCCCACAAUCCCUGUGGCUGCUUUAUCUGUGCUAGCUGGGGUAAAGCUCAUGUACCAGAGAGAAAAAGGGAAAGGAAAAAUCCUCAGCUAACUCUCACUUCCCUGGAAGUUUCAAAAUACCUAAGGAAAUGUGUCAGUGUGGGAUCAGCAGUAGCUUUUACCCUGCUGCCCCUCUCCAGCCUUGCAACUGUACCCUGGAUGAAAGAAGAGGUGCCAUGCCUUGGACAACACUGCAGCAAGAAUCCUGCUGCACCUGCCAGUCGUUCACUGCAGUCCUGGAACUGCCAACAGCAACACUGUAUCUGGAAAAGACUGCUUUGAAACACGUAUGAAAAUGUCUCAGCUUAUUUAAAUGGCAUUGUAGGAAGCGGAAAUAAAGUGUAACCAAGACUGGAACAGUCAGUGUGAGACUGAUCCUCUGCUCUCUAAACCAACCAGGAAAGUACCUCAAACACCAGGAACAAGAAAGGAAGGCAGAGAGAAAGGACGAUUAUUCUUCUCCCUGCCAAACCCAGGACAGUGCAAUGGGAAGGGCACUCCAGUUCUGAGAAGAUUCAGCAACUGGUCAGGGGACAAGGGACAGAAACAUCCAUACACAUGGAUGCAUGCCCUCAUGCACACAGGAAUGACUGGUAUAUAAGGAAGGAGUCAGAUCCAGGAGCCUUUUGUACAAACGAGCUGCAGCAUGAGCAACACUCUGUGCUUUUCUUGGAAGGGGCUGUGAAGAACACAGCAGCCUUAACUCAGAUUGAUAAGUAGCA